rnacentral:rRNA from 1 species
GACGAACGCUGGCGGCGUACUUAACACAUGCAAGUCGAACGGUGAAGCGCCUUCCUUUUUGGUGGGUGUGGAUGAGUGGCGAACGGGUGAGUAACACGUGAGUAACCUGCCCCCUUCUUCUGGAUAACCGCAUGAAAGUGUGGCUAAUACGGGAUAUUCUGGGUCUGUCGCAUGAUGGGUCUGGGAAAGAUAUUGUUUCGGUGGGGGAUGGGCUCGCGGCCUAUCAGCUUGUUGGUGGGGUGAUGGCCUACCAAGGCGGUGACGGGUAGCCGGCCUGAGAGGGUGGACGGUCACACUGGGACUGAGACACGGCCCAGACUCCUACGGGAGGCAGCAGUGGGGAAUAUUGCACAAUGGGCGCAAGCCUGAUGCAGCGACGCCGCGUGAGGGAUGGAGGCCUUCGGGUUGUGAACCUCUUUCGCCAGUGAAGCAGGCCUGCCUCGUUUGUGGGUGGGUUGACGGUAGCUGGAGAAGAAGCGCCGGCUAACUACGUG